CAGCCGCCACGGGAAAACAGAGGGUGCAAGCGUUAAUCGGAAUUACUGGGCGUAAAGCGCGCGUAGGUGGUUUGUUAAGUUGGAUGUGAAAUCCCCGGGCUCAACCUGGGAACUGCAUCCAAAACUGGCAAGCUAGAGUAUGGUAGAGGGUGGUGGAAUUUCCUGUGUAGCGGUGAAAUGCGUAGAUAUAGGAAGGAACACCAGUGGCGAAGGCGACCACCUGGACUGAUACUGACACUGAGGUGCGAAAGCGUGGGGAGCAAACAGGAUUAGAUACCCCAGUAGUCCCUGUCUCUUAUAC
rnacentral:rRNA from 1 species